GCUUCCCUGGCUCAGUUGGUUAGAGCGCCAGUCUCAUAUCGUUAUGAGGAAUCAAGUGAUUCUUUAAUCUGGAGGUCAUGAGUUCGACCCUCAUGGGGAGCA